GGCUGAUCCAUAAGUAGACAAUAUCCAACCUGGACAAAACGAGCUUCCCUCACGAGCCGAACUAAACCGCAUCCCCCUAAAGAAUAGAGACUAAAUGCAAAGUCACUUUCAUGAAUUCAAAAGCAAUUUACCAGUGAUUUCUGGGUGCUGGGGCUGAUUUUUUUGUGCGUAUUUACUUUCUAUAUCUUCUGAUGAGGAAAGAGAAAUGCUUCAAGAAGGACUUUGUGACCCCUCAUCACUUUGUAUAAGAGCCCAGGGCAUGAACUGAGACCAAGGACCCGACAAUAUUAAUAAUUCAACAUUUGGCAGUAUUGUGGAUAUUAAUGCAUUCGUAGUUCAUCUUGACAAACCUGGGCCC
ensembl:lncRNA